rnacentral:rRNA from 1 species
GAUGAACGCUGGCGGCGUGCCUAAUACAUGCAAGUCGAGCGAACAGAUAAGGAGCUUGCUCCUUUGAAGUUAGCGGCGGACGGGUGAGUAACACGUGGGUAACCUACCUAUAAGACUGGGAUAACUUCGGGAAACCGGAGCUAAUACCGGAUAACAUUUAGAACCGCAAGGUUCUAAAGUGAAAGAGGGUUUUGCUAUCACUUAGAGAUGGACCCGCGACGUAGUAGCUAGUUGGUAAGGUAACGGCUUACCAAGGCGACGAUACGUAGCCGACCUGAGAGGGUGAUCGGCCACACUGGAACUGAGACACGGUCCAGACUCCUACGGGAGGCAGCAGUAGGGAAUCUUCCGCAAUGGGCGAAAGCCUGACGGAGCAACGCCGCGUGAGUGAUGAAGGGUUUCGGCUCGUAAAACUCUGUUAUUAGGGAAGAACAAAUGUGUAAGUAACUGUGCACAUCUUGACGGUACCUAAUCAGAAAGCCACGGCUAACUACGUGCCAGCCGCCGCCGUAA